CGCGAGGCAAGCUGGGCGCUGUAGGUCGAGAACUGCUCCUAGGCGCCUAACAGACUGCGGCUCCCAUCGUUCCUUGCGCGGGACCCCGGAGCCGGGGCGGAGAGGGCAGCGCUGCGGUAGCUGCAAUCGAGGCGGGCGGACUAGAAGCUGAGGAGCCGCUGAGUCUCCCUCUCUCCCUCCCCAUCGUGUGGAGCCCUAGAGCGGCCGCGGCUCCCUGGUGCCGGGCCGCCAUCUUGUGCUGGUGGGAGCCCAGUGGGGCAUCCGGAGCCCCGGCCACGAAGGUGGAGUGCGAGUGGGGCCGCCCCUCUCCUCCCAGCUGCCUGGACCCGCUUCCAUCGCCUCAGGGCCCUGUCGCGGCAGAGGAGCCGCCUCGAGAGAGCGGCUUCCCCUCCGCCGCAGGCCUGCGCCGCACCCGUUUAGAGCCAGCUACGCCCUGAGCUGUAGGUGCUGCGAGCAGGAGCACACGCCUCUUCCUCCAUACCCUCUUCACCCAUAGCCCACGUAGGUCCUGCCGCCGCAACAGCAGCAACAGGAGCAGCCCCACAGAGAGGGAAGCCGUGUCCACCCCAGCAGGACUUGCACUGCCCUAGAACUGAUGCCACCGUCGCCUAGAGGAGGCGGGUCCUCCUAACGGAGCCCUGCCCGGGCUCCAAGGGCCAGGUCCUUGCCUCUUUACUCCACCCAGCCUGGAGAGACACUCCUUACCAGCCUAAUCUAGGGAGGAGACAUUGCUUCCCGCCCCCACGCUUGUGCCUCUUCCCCUGAACUAGAAAAACAGAUCAGGUGCUGCUGCUAUCCCAGACCUUGAGGAGACGCCCACUGACUGAACUCUGCUGCUCUCUACCACCCACGAGCCCGACGCACCAGAUCAGGAGAUAGAGACCCAGCCCUGACAAGCUGCUGACACGUCCCGCCCCAUCAGGAGAGAGAGACCCGUUCAGAGGUGCUGCUCCUGCUCCACGCACCCACCAAUAUCAGGAGAGGAAGCUACACAGAGCUACUACAACUGCAAAGACAUGAAGAUCAAGGAUGCUAAGAAACCAUCUUUUCCAUGGUUUGGCAUGGACAUUGGGGGAACACUGGUGAAACUUGCAUAUUUUGAACCUAUUGAUAUCACUGCAGAAGAGGAGCAGGAGGAAGUUGAAAGCUUGAAGAGCAUCCGCAAAUAUUUGACUUCCAAUAUAGCCUAUGGAUCCACUGGUAUUCGAGAUGUCCACCUUGAACUGAAAGACUUGACACUUUUUGGCCGAAGGGGAAACUUGCACUUUAUUCGAUUCCCAACUCAUGACUUGCCUACUUUUAUCCAAAUGGGAAGAAAUAAAAACUUUUCAACACUACACACGGUGCUUUGCGCCACUGGAGGUGGCGCUUAUAAGUUUGAAGAAGAUUUUCGCACAAUUGGAAACCUCCAGUUGCACAAACUGGAUGAGCUUGACUGUCUUGUCAAAGGCCUGUUGUAUAUAGACUCUGUCAGUUUCAAUGGCCAGGCAGAGUGCUAUUACUUUGAAAAUGCCUCAGAACCGGAAAGAUGCCAAAAGAUGCCUUUUAACUUGGAUGACCCAUACCCAUUAUUGGUUGUAAACAUUGGUUCAGGAGUCAGUAUUUUAGCAGUCCAUUCAAAAGACAGCUAUAAGAGAGUGACUGGAACAAGUUUAGGUGGAGGGACAUUUCUAGGUUUAUGCAGUUUAUUGACUGGUUGUGAAAGUUUUGAAGAAGCUCUUGAAAUGGCAUCCAAAGGGGACAGUACACAUGCUGAUAAGCUUGUCCGGGACAUUUAUGGAGGGGACUAUGAACGUUUUGCCUUGCCAGGAUGGGCAGUAGCCUCUAGUUUUGGGAAUAUGAUCUACAAAGAGAAGAGAGAAUCUGUUAGUAAAGAAGACCUGGCUAGAGCUACACUGGUCACGAUCACCAAUAAUAUUGGGUCUAUAGCACGGAUGUGUGCGGUAAAUGAGAAAAUAAACAGAGUUGUCUUUGUUGGUAACUUUUUGCGUGUGAACACUUUGUCAAUGAAGCUUCUUGCAUAUGCACUGGAUUACUGGUCAAAAGGCCAGCUGAAGGCCUUAUUCCUAGAACAUGAGGUAAGCAAAGGACACUACAUGUACAUAUGUGGUGUGCCUUAUCCUUAAUUCCCAAUACCUAUUUUAAAUGACCGCAUAACUGUAAUAUCCAGUCACCUUGCAAAUAUUUAUAAAACUCACAGCAGUAUCACUUUUGUCUUAUUUUUCCUAGCCUAUAGAGAAAUAGCUGGUUUUGUGUAGGUGGUUGAGAGUAUACAUAAAGAAAUAGAAGGCAAGAUAAGUCCAAGGAAUGGAUUUUGACUUGACUUGUGAAAAGUUAAUUUUGUAGUAAUUUUCUUGCAUCAAUGAAUUCUGGAGUCUGCUUCUGUCUUCUGUAUUAGUAAGCCACAUCCUGUGGGUGGACCAUUACAUUGUUCUGAUGGAACAGCUAUUACAGCAUAUCACAGUUACGGAGGGGGAGCAGUAGCGAGUGCCACUCCCAUCUGGGGACUUCGAAUGGGAUACCAACACAAAGGAAGGCAUCAGAAUAUGUUUUGCUUUGCUUUCUACCAGGUGAAGCAUUUCAGGGUAUCUGGCUUCAGCCAUACAAUUUCAAUUAUUGAAACUUUUCUAGGAAUUAAUACAUAAAUCAAAGUAGCCAGGUCUGUCUCUUAUUCAGGUGGGACAGUCUUCUGGUCAAUUAAAUUAAAUAGUCAUUUUUCCACAGGAGCUACUAGCAUUUAGAUGGAUUCAAAUGGUUAUGGACUGUAUUAAUUUGAGGGCAGAUUUUCUCACGAGUUAAAAAUGUAAGGAAAUACGGUUCAAUUCCCUGUUUCAACCUGCAUCAUCUCAGUUUUUACAAGGUUCAGCUUUAACAAAUUCUUUUUAAUCCAGAUAUUGUUUCAGUGAGGUAUUGAAAAUUCUGGAAGAUGUAGAGCUGGGUGUAAUAUAUAUAUCACAGGCACUUAACUCAGAUUGUCUCAGCCAUUCCCCCAACAGUUUCUCAUAUAUCUAUUUCAUGUGGAGGUUAGGAUUUGGUAUUUUGGGACUCUGUAGGUAAGCAUCAUGAAGAAAUAGUUGCCUAUAUCAGUUCUCUGGGUUCAGUCUGGGUCCCAGGACUUCGGGGAUUUCCUUUCAUCCUGUACGUUCUUGGGGACAAUACAGGUAUAUUUGUUUGUCACCAGCUGCUGCAGAGAGGUCCAACAGAGUGAAUGUGGAUAUUCUUUCCUUGUCUAUGGGUGGAGUAUUAGCUACUAGUACCUUUCUGAAGCCCACCUGAGGGAUAUAGGAUGCUGGCAGCUAAAAGUGCUAUUGUGUAUUUUUGGCUGCUCUUGAUUAGCUUGCUUUCAUAUCUUGAAAGAUUAGAAGCCACCCUGACUUCUAAUUCUUCCACAACUGAUACUUGCAGCGAAUGGUCCAAAUUCUUGGGAAGGCAUUUGUCUACCUUUUUUGGUGGUUGGAGGCUAACCUGGUUGAGGUCAGCCUCUGCUGACAUAAGCUAAUUCCUCCUACUAGGAGAGGACAUGUUCUGGGCUUGAAUGCAGACAGUCAGAAUUUAAGUCAUUUGUUUUGCUCUAGCAGGGUGUGAAGUUGUUGCCUCUAUGUCAGAGGACAGAAAAAAAUUAAUAUGACUUCUAUAGAACUACAGAAUGCGACUGCUGUGAUGGAGACAGUCUGUAUCUGAUGUUUUCUUCUACUCCCAGUAUUCAGGUUUUCAUUUCCUUUGGGAGCAUGAGGUGGGAGAAAUGGUAGUAUCUAUAGCAGUAGUGAGUGGUUGAAAUUCCUUUGCUAGUUCUACUCCUUGGACUUUUGGGGAGUAGAUUUUAAGGUCUGAUUUUUGGGGGACCAUGAUGGUGGUCUUUUUGUCUUGCAUGGGGGAUAAAAUUCUUGCUUCCACCUUGAUUAUGAAGUGGUCCACAGAUAGAGAGGUGGUUCUUGUGUUUGUCCACAUGCAGCCUAAAGGUCCAGUCCAAAGUAUAACUGGCUCUGUUCAGGCCUGAAGAAUACCUUUGAGAAACUUAAGGUGGAGAGUUGAAAUAAGAAGUGCUGAACUGCUGCCUCAGAGGGAUACUUUGGUGCUGUUGGUGCUCUUCUUGGAUUGCCAAAUUUCAGCUGAAGUACCAGAUGCUACUACACUGAAUUGUUUUCCACUUGGUUGGCAUUACUACUACAUUGUUUAAGUCAAUGGGAACCAAAGGAAAAAAAGCAGCAGUUUUGCUGCAGUUAUUUUUAAAUUUAAGUGGUAAACUGCUGGAUGUUACCAUAUUAAGGAAAUGGGAUCUUGCUGUGUAAGGCAUUUUUAAGUGAAAUACCUGUGGAUUUUGCCUUAUGAUCUCCAGUGCUUGUAGCCAGUUUUGAACUUCUAAUAUGCAAUACAUCCUCUGAAAAACAAGCUUCCAAAAGAGAAUUCCAGCCCUUUUAGGUGUCCAUCCUUUAUAAUAGUGUGGACUUAAACAUGAAGCUUUAGUGCUAAGCAAAUAUCUUUUGCAGAUAAUCUGGUGAAAGUGGUUUAUUUUGAUAUUUGUGUUUUUUGUCUCACUACUGCAUUGUACUAAGAGCAGAAUUGUGUGUUUAAGACAAUUGACCUGAAAACACCAAAGUGCCAUCAACAGAAAGCAAAGCUUUGUAGUGUAGAAGAUCAUUUCUCAGUAUGACAGCAUAAAGUGUUACAGCAUUUAAUAUGUUCCAGUAAUUGCAGAAUUUUAAUGUCUAAUGGGAAAAUAUCUAAUUUAGUUUUUUAGCAAGUAUAUUAAGUGAAAAUACAGUACUGCAUUUCCACAUAUCUGUACUCUUGUGAAGCUUUACAUUUGUUCAGUUCAUUUAUUGAAAGGUAGAUAUGGUAUUUUGGGAAGAUCCCUUUGGAUUAGGUUCAUGAUUCAAGGAACAGCAAGCCUUUAGAAAAGGCAUCUGACUUCCAAAAUUCCAUGACCUUACAUUCUAAAUCACAAAAUUUUGAUUUCAUUCUCCUCUACUUGUGAAAGUCACCACAAAACUUGCAGAGUAUAUCUACCGAAAAGAGGCCUGGAACUAAAAUUAUUUCAGCUUGUAAUUCCGUUGCUUUGGCAUAUCUUUUUGAGGAAGCUUGUACAAAUUCUGUCCCUGCUCUACCGAUCUGAAAACAUUUAGUCCUUCAUUUCAUUAAUCUUAAACAAGAUAUUUCACUUCUAAUAGUCUCAAAUCUAGGUGGAUGAUUUUAAUUUAUCUUGUUUUUGAAUUGGAAGUUUGUUUUUGUAGCUCCAGAGUUUGUAUUGCAGAGUCAAAAGGACCAGUGUUUAGUAUACUUUGUUAAACAAUUCCCAUUAUUGCAAACUGUGGCCUUGAGAUAAACUCCAUAUUCUGAGACUAGCCUUUGUUUUGUCUACAUACUGUGUUCUCAGACUAUUUUAAAUUUUACAAUAAUUGUUUUACUGUGAGAAGUGUUGCUGCUGCCAGGAGAUAAAGGCUUUGGACUAGAAAGACCAUGUCAGAAGUCAAGCCAGCUGUGUAUGUCAGUGUAUUUUUGUGUGUGUGUGUACCUCAGAAGAAAUAUCCAAUUUUGCAGUAAGUAAAUUAAUAUUAAGUAUUUCCUGUAUAUGCAUAAAAAGCUAUAUCUGACUAGAACUCAAAUGUUGGAAUUAAACCUGUUUUUUCAAUGGAUAUGACUCUAAAUCAAGUAAAAGAGUGAGUAUUUGAGAACAUUGCUAUGUUGCAUUACAGUGGCAUCUGAACUUCUUAGCCACAUUACCUUUCCACAUAAUAUGCAUAAAGGGGACUGAAAAUAGUAAGUAAAAAAUUAACUUUUUCUGGGGUUUGGGGUGUUUUUGUUUUAGUUGAAUUCCAGAAAAUUUCCUAAGGCCAGAAGUGCAGUGACUCUUCUAGGGGUGAGAAGAAGGCCAUUUCAUUCAAGCCAGCGCAAUGCCAACUUCAAAUAUAGUUUGUCAUUGCUGCUGAGUACCUAAGCUAAAUUUCCGUUGUGAGGACUUUUAAAUUGAGGCUUCAGUCUGGAAAGAAAUAGAAUCAUUUCUAGAACUAUGCUUAUCAUUGAGCGAAGGCAGCAUCAAUCUACGAAGCAAGUUGGUACAGCUUGGAUAAAGUGUGUCUUUAUGAAAGUUGCGAGAAGUUUUACCAUGACUGAGUGUAAAAUCUAGUAGUUUAGUUUAGUUUGCAUUAACAGCCAGUAAUAGGAAGAAGUAAUUUAGACUUGUUUCUUCUCUGAACUUUUCACAGAGAGAUUAUUUGAAGACUUAUUUUUCUGCAGGUUGUAUUAGUCUGAUACAAAGUUUCACACCCCAGAUGCUUGCCUUUCCCGAGGGGUGGAGACUUAAUACUUCAGCAACACGUCAUGCAGUCUGGCAAAAAACAUGUUAGCUAGUCCAUAUCUGUUGUCAUAGAUUACUUCUUCCAUAUACAUCCUGUACUACUGGAGCAUAAACUGAGAGUUGCUUUUGAAGCAGUAUUUCGUAGAUUGUAUAUUUUGACCUGAAGAUAUUGAAAGUAAGUUUAGCUAAAAUACUCUUUUUCCAGUUCUGCAGCAAGGCAGUCUGAGAGACAUGACCUUCAUAAAUUCAAGAAAUAUUAAUUUGAUGUAGCCUAUGAUACAUUUUUGAAGUUAACAUGGACACCGGAAUAAAUUCAGAAGUAAUUCUUGAAUAGCUGUAUUGCAUAUGUAAUGCAUAAUGCUAUUAGUAUUUCUCAUGAGAAAUAAGAUGCAUGUCCUACCUUUAUAUAUUUCUUUCCUUCAACUUUGGAAAAAGUCUGGCUGGCCUUUUUUUAGUUCCUUCUGCAUAAUUUGGUUGUUUCUUCUUAUCCCCCCACCAUUCUCCCAGAGACUACCAGCAGAGCUUUCUAGCUCUCCUGUAAGUGCACCCCUUGAGAUCCAUCUUAACAGAGGGUUAUUGGUCUUUUGCUGGAGAGUGUUCAGGCACAAUUGCUGAGGUUUAUUUGGUUAUUUUUUUCCAAAAACUUACAAAUACACCUUUUUGUCAUCCAAGAGUUUCCAGAGAUUGAUUGGACCUUUAGUGGGGUCACUAAGCAUUGUAAGUACAAAUGAAAGGAGCUUUAAAUUUCUUCAUCUAGACCUUUGUAUACAGACCAAAAGAACCUUACCAGGGCUCCCUUUAGAGGGAAUUGCUGAAGUAGAUUAAUUUCUUUCCUAUCUUCAAUGUUUUACUUUGACGUUUGGCAUUCCUUUGUUUCAAUGCUACUUGGAGUUUCCUUACAGUAAAGGAACUCAAACAAGUGGUCACCUGCUAUAGCAGAAGAAGUGCAACACCUUUCUUUGCAAGCUUGUGGAUCCUCUUGGCUAAUGCUGACUUCUCAAAGAGGGAACCACUUUCUUCAAGUAGAGGUUUUCCCCUUGAAAGAAAAAAGGCAAAGCUCAUUCUCAGUGUAGCGGGUCUCAGAUCAAGCAGCCAGACGAGUGCCUUCAGUUUCUCAUGUGAUGCCAAUGAUGUUAGUUUUACUUGCACUGCAACUUCAUGUUUGAGCAUUAUUGGUACCAGUAAUACUUUUGUCACCCCAGACUGUUUACUGUAGAUGUGGACAAUAAUUGUAUCAGCAUUUUAGAUGAGCCACUAGACCAGUCAAGAAGACAGUAUGAGCUUUCUGGCCUCCCAUCUUCAUGGCAAGCUAGUCUACUUCUUUGUUGGAGUAGUUUUGCCUACCAGUUUCUCUUCCCCCCUCCCCCCAAUGGGAUUUGUCCAUGCAUUAUGUCAGAAUGUUUAGCAUGUCGUUGUGUCUCUGCAAUGAUGCUUGUUUUUUGUUCCACAAGUACAGGCUGUUUCUGGAUGCUUCAUUUUUAUAUGAAGAUAUUAUGGACUGGUUGGUAUGGCUAAAAAAAAACCUCUAACCACUCUCAACAACUUUCUAGUUGGGCUUAAGGUAAUUGCACUUUAAGGAACUCUUUUUUGCUACAUAUUUUGGAUCUUUAAAUUUAAGACCAAAUCUGGAAUACUGGCAUUGCGUUUUUCUGUUUGGUUUUUUUUUUAGUGACUCUAAUAGUAUUGCCACUUGUAUAAACAACUUUUCUAUAAAGCAUCAUUCCAUUUAGAAUCUGGGAAUGUAAAGACUCUGAAUAGAUCAGUUUUUCCAUUUUUUUGUCAUUAAAAGUUUUGUUUGCAGUGACAUGCAUCUAGCAACAAAGCAGUUAUGAAGCGUCAAUACCACAUGCAGUGCUAUUUAAAUUUUUGGUAUUAAGAGAGUUGGAAGUCAGGCUGUGUUACCCAUUUUCAAUCUCUAAGGGAUACUUAAGAAAUGCUUAACAAUUCUGGUUCUUCAACUAAUACUUAGUUGUAUUGAGAAGUUCUAUUCCUAUUGCAUUCAGGUGGUUGGUAAUAUACGUCAUGUAUAUACAUGUAAGGUAUUCCUUGCCUUUUUAGUGUGAGGAGGAUAAACAGCCUUUGUUAUAUUACAAUUUUUUAUAUUCUACCUGAGCCAGUGUAGAUAUUUAAUCAAGCACCACAUUUUUGGGAGUGUUUUUUUAAGAAGGUGGCCCAUUCUAAAUAACUAUGGCAAUAACUUAUAUUUCCUAAUGUUUUAGGAUAGCUGUAGGAGUUAAGCAUUUGAAAGUAUUUCAAAGUGCUUCCCCUUAGAGCAAAGUUGUGCUCUUUAAAGACUAAUCAGUGUCUUAUGUUUAUUGAUCAUAUAAUCUUUCAUGCCUUUACUGUUCUGUAAAUAUCUCAUUCAUUAUAAAACCUCUGUAAAUGAAUUGUUGGUAUCCUAAGGAGACAGAUUAGUUUAGUUCAUAACAGAAUUGGAGACAAGAUGGUCUUGUUACUGAUUACUUCAAGCAAAACAAGUAUUGAGGUUGAACCAAUGCAGCUAAAUAGGUGUAACCCACUUUCUCCUGCAUCUAAUUUAAUGUGCAGUCAAGCUGACUAUUUCUUACGUUCAUGUUCUCCUUAUGAAACAGAUAUUUCUCCGUCUUUCCCACAUACGGGUAUUUAGAAAACCUGCAAUGUGUACAGUUGUUGGGUUUUGUUUGGAUUAAGGAAUUUACACAAUAUUGAGGAUCAUACGAAGUAUUACCUAGCUUUGUCUUUUACAGAAAUAGGUCGACAAGCACUGUUUUAUAAAUACAGUUAAAGUUAAAUUUGGAUAAAAUUCUUUCCCUUCAGGCUAAAGCAAUGUGGCGCAGGAAAUUUUCAGCUCAUUAAGAAUAGAGCUGGUGGGUUAAUUGUUGCAAAAACUUAAUUAAGCUUUGGAAGUUUGUGUUUGAUAUGGAGCUGAUUGGGGGGGGGGGGGAGGGGAGGCACUAAGAUGUCUUCUCACAGCACAGAGAUAAUUUCCCCACUUAUAGUCCACAAAAUGCUUAAGUGCAUAUUACUAAACCUUCUUGAUCAGUUGUAUCUGGCUUUUCUUGUUAAUAUAUUCCAAAUAUUGUUACCAGUAUUCUAAAAUUUAAUAAUACCUUUAAAGAAGACUUGAAGAUAAAGAACAUAAAGUCUGCAAACAAGCCUGUUUUCCAAGAUGUUUACCUGCUUAGAUCUCUGACAUGUAUCGCUGUAUUAUUGUAACACUGACUGCUAAAUCCUGCUUGUCUUAGUUACUAAGUAGUCUGUUGGUUUAAAUGGGAACUACUCUUAGCAGUAAUGAAACAUUUGGCCCCAAGAUUCUUUUUAAAAAGCCAUUCAGAUAGGGAAAACUGUAGUGCUACUUUGCAUAUUGCUGCUGGUGCUAAAUCAAUUGAAAAAUUUAGAAUCAAAAUAAGUUGUAAAUAGAAUUAAUAUUUAUGGCCUGGUCCUUUUGACAGACUUGAAGUUUGUCAAGUUGUAAAGAUUUCUCAUGGCCUUAUGUUGAGCUUCCUUUUUUAUAUAUUUGGAUUGAAAUUCAUUAAAGUCAAGACAUUCAUGGGGCUGGCUUUCUGUGCUGCUUUCUGUAAAGCAGAUUACAUUCAAUUUGUGCAUUUUAUGUCAUGGAUCACUUUCCAUUUCUAGAAUUUCAUUUUAAAACUAGCUUUAGAUGUUAAUCUUAUACUUUCCCAUGCUUUGUCAUUGUAGCUGUUUAGAGUAGAUGAAGUUUUAGUACCAACUACUGUGGGCUCAGCAUGCAUGUGUCCUGUGUUAGCACUUCAAAAAGUACAGCCAUUACUGUAAGUAUUUACCAUUUUUGUUGAAAAUUGUGAGUAUUUAAAGUUAAUUUUAAAGGUAUAACUUGUUAAGUAGUCCUAUCCAUAAAAUAAACUGAAAUAGGGUUUCUGAAUUGUUAAUCUGCAGUAACAGUUUUAAUCUGUUCAAAUUUCACUAUUCCUUCAGCAUGGAUGUUUUAGACCUUUGUGAAUACGAAGUCUUUAAGCAUUGGUUUCAGAUUGGUUUCAGAUUGAACAUUAGAAAAGACUCGUUUUAAACAGAUUUUUGUAGGAAAUGAGGAUGUUUGGGGAAAAAAAAUUUGCAGUACCAAAAACCUGAAAAUUUGUGUUACUUUGGUGUUCAGAUUGAAAUGGGACAUACACAAAAACUUGUCUCUUGUAUUUUGAUAGUCAGCACCAUCUGUUUUUACAUUUGUCAUUUUAACCAUAUGUAUUUUAUCUCUUAAUUGCUAGGCAAUUUUCUUACCAUGUGUAGGCCUUCUAGUGACCAAAUCGUACAUUCAGAGUUCUUUUAGUUCCUUAGCAAAAAGGAUAGCAAAUCCAUAAACUCCAAACCCAUGUAAGGAGGAUGUUUUCCAUAAGAGCCAUUUCAGUUAGUUGCCUUAUUCUAUUGUAUUGUACUUAUGUUAUGUCUGAGUUUAUUUGUUUACUGUUCUGACACUGAAGAUAUGAUGUAAAAAGUACAAUGUGCUGCAAAUUUGUAUUAACUUUAUUAAAUUAUAUCUUUAUGUAAACUGUAGUACAUCUCUUGUAAAUUGUUUAAUUUAUUUUUUUCAUUUUAUAGCUCAUUAUCGAAUGUACAGAAUAGAUUUAAUGUAAUUAAGUAUUUUCAUUCUGGCCAAAUUGAUUGUGCCUACAAUGUAAUCCAUCCCCAUCAAAACUGUAUAUAACUCUUUACUGCUUGCUUGCAUAAAUUAGGUUUGGAUUUAAUUUACUUGUUUGUACUGUAUUGCCAUAAGCCAACUUUAAUAUGAUGGACCUACUUUUUUGUAGUUUUCUGGUUUUGUUACUGUUCAGUAUGAAUGUUGAAACAAUACUGUCUUACUUUUUCCUAAUAAAUAACUCCAGAUUGUUCA